rnacentral:misc_RNA from 1 species
UUUUCUAACUUGGUCUGUCGAACAUUGUUUUGCAUUAGUCAUUUCCCCACGCGGAAGGAAAAAGUCACGUGACUCAAAAGCAAGACCAAUUUGGAACAUCACUCUUUCGCGGGGAAAGUCGAGCGAAGUGCCCGCGUGAGCAUACGGAGCCGUUCUUAACGUGAAGUUCUACAUGUGAUUGUUAUCCUAGUUACUGCCGUUCUGUCACUGGUGCAGCAAGAAUGGAAUUAGACUACUUGGACGACGCACAGUGGCGUGCUUCUUGUGUGCUGGAUGCAACUGGCACAUUACAACAGAGAGCAAAUGAAAUUAGAUCGCAAGUGGUCAACUGGAUGUCAUAUCGGCAGAGUAACAUGAUAACCCAAGAAGACUAUAAUUUCAUAAUUGCAUUUGAUAAAGCUAGAGAUAAAAAGGCAAGAGAUGCUAUCUUAGAAACACAGGCUCAUCAGUGUUCAAAAACAUUUCUGAGUUUGCUUGGCCACAUUUCUAAAGAUCAGACCUUGCAAUAUAUAUUGAUUAUGAUUGAUGAUAUGCUGCAGGAGGAUAAAUCAAGAGUAGAACUUUUUAAGCCAACAAAGCAUUCAAGGAAGAAGAGUGAUUCAGAUUGGAGUCCCUUCCUUAGUUUAUUGAAUCGACGUGAUGGUUUCAUUAUGAACAUGACUAGUAGAAUUAUUGCAAAAUUAGCAUGCUGGAGUAAGGAGCUAAUGGAUGGUUCUGAUUUAAAUUUCUACUUAACAUGGUUAAAAGAUCAACUUCGACAACCAAAUAAUGAGUACAUCCAGUCUGUGGCACGGUGUCUACAAAUGAUGCUCCGUAUUGAUGAAUAUCGACUUGCAUUUGUCACUGUUGAUGGCAUAUCACAGCUGGUGAAUGUUUUAGCUGGAAAAGGCAAUUAUCAGAUACAGUACCAACUUAUAUUUUGUGUCUGGGUUAUGACAUUUAAUGUUAAUUUAGCAGAAAAAAUGAACAGGUUUAAUAUUAUACCUAUUUUGUCAGAUAUUUUGAGUGAAUGUCCAAAAGAGAAAGUUACUAGAAUUAUUUUGGCAACUCUAAGGAAUCUGAUUGAGAAACCCGAAGACCCAGCAAUAAGUAGAGAUCAUGCAAUAGUUAUGGUGCAAUGCAAGGUACUGAAACAAUUAGAUAUUCUUCAAAGUAGGCGAUUUGAUGAUCCUGAUAUUGUUGAAGAUCUUGAAUUCUUGAAUGGUAAACUUCAGACCAGUAUUCAAGAUUUAAGCUCUUUUGAUGAAUAUUCAACUGAAAUAAAAUCUGGAAGGCUAGAAUGGAGUCCUGUACACAAUUCGGAGAAGUUCUGGAGAGAAAAUACUCAUAGGCUAAAUGAGAAAAAUUAUGAGUUACUUAAGAUUCUAAUUUAUAUUUUGCAAACAAGUAAAGAUCCUCUUGCUUUGAGUGUGGCAGCUCAUGAUAUUGGUGAAUAUGUUAGACAUUAUCCUCGUGGAAAGCAUGUUAUUGAAGGUCUUGGAGGUAAACAGCAAGUUAUGCAUUUGCUUUCUCACGAAGACCCUAAUGUUCGAUACCAAGCAUUACUGUGUGUCCAAAAGCUUAUGGUCCACAACUGGGGUAAUGCCUUCUUAAAGUGUAGUGGAUUUAUCCUAAAAACUCCCAAAAGAUCUUCAAAUUCCUGUGUAAAGAAUAGUUUUUUUUAAAUGCUGAUUAUUCUUCCAAAAUAUAGUAAACUUUGUAUGAAAAUGCAGAUCAUUCAAAUCAGGGAGUAUCUUGGACGACAACUUGAGAAAGAAACCAGCCAGGCAAUACCUACUAAAGGUUAAGAAAAAAAAAAAAAAAAUUAUUUCGCAAAUAAAUCUCUUAAAUUCAUUAAUGGUAAUUUGAAUGUAGUCAAGAUUCUGAAUUAAUAUGUUUGCAUUAUUAUAUGUGGAUUAAUACCUAGUGUGGCCAAUGAAAACCUAGUUUAAAAGUAUACAUUCCAGAAUGGAUUAAUGGACUUUCGUGGGAGUUAUGUAAGGAAAUACAGAUGCCAUGCUUUUGCACUUGUAAUUAUGUAGAUAGCUUGAUUUGUAAUUUAUUUCAAAAUAUCUCUUUAAAAAGCACAGUUAUUUAAUGUUACCAAAGAUUUUGCUUCAGAAGUGAUAUAUGUGCAAGUGAUGAGUGUCUAGUUGUUUCUAAAUAAAAUUUAUGAAUGUCUCAAUAUUUUACUAUUAUUUAGUUAUAUAUUUAAUAUCAACAAAAUUGAUAUUGUAAUGUUAGUAUCUGUUAGAAAACUGACUUAAAAUAUAUAAGCAAACAAGAGAUUCUUCAAGUUAAAUUAAAUUUUUUAAAUAUUGGAAUCAUUCUGUUUUAUUGCAUACAUGUAUAUGCUAUUAAUGUCAUUAAGCAUAUAGUAUUGAAAACUGUUAAUAGUUAAAUAUUUGUAUUUCAUCAACAGAAGUUUGUGCAUUAGGUUUUCUUUCCAUUUGUUGAUUCUUUAUACUCAAGAAACUUUAAUAAAAGAAAAUUAUAUUUUUA